AGGCCGUCCCGAAACAACCAAUAAAACAAAACAACGAUCCUUCAUGUCACAAGAAACUAACCGGUCUGCAGCAGUGCUUCUCAACCCGGUCCUGGGUGACCCCUAAACAGUCCACGUUUCAGCCUUGCGGUGUGUGUGGUUAGACGGUAAUGAGAAACACAGAAAGAGCCCGACCAGCAGCCUCAUCGUUGCCAAAGACCAGAUGGGUAAUCCAGAAAGUUCCGUGGACUGAGCGGAUGAGCAGAAAUCAAAAUAAGAAACCUGCAAUCCUGCUUUCCGCCUGAGGAAAACACAUGGUACAUGUACGAGACCCCCCCCCCCCCUCCGGCUUCAGAA